rnacentral:rRNA from 1 species
UACAGAGGGGGCAAGCGUUAUUCGGAAUUAUUGGGCGUAAAGGGCGCGUAGGCGGCUUUGCAAGUGGCGGGUGAAAUCCCUCGGCUUAACCGAGGAACUGCCUGUCAAACUGCAUGGCUUGAGACCAGGAGAGGUGAGUGGAAUUCCCAGUGUAGCGGUGAAAUUCGUAGAUAUUCGCAAGAACACCAGUGGCGAAGGCGGCUCACUGGCCCGAUACUGACGCUGAGGCACGAAAGCGUGGGGAGCAAACAGG